rnacentral:lncRNA from 1 species
GCAGAGCACCGAGGAGAGCUGCUGACUUCAUGGACUGCGAGCGGGGUGAAGGGUAGCUCCAGGGUCCGCGGCCAAGAGCUCUCCCAAGGCUGAGUGCGGGCUGAGAAUGCGGCCGGAAGAAGAGUCGCGGCGUCCCCGGUGACGGUCCGGAGUUGCAAGGUCACAAGAAGUCCCUGAGAUGACCUGAUGCACAGGUCAAGAAGAAGCAACAUUCUAUUGGCCAAAAGACCAGUUUGUGCCACAUGAGUAGGUGUUUUCAUAUAAUGACAGUUAUGUUGACAUUUUGUUGAAAGACACCUGAAACUGUAAGAUGUAGCAAGUGACUCUUCACACUACAAAGAUGUCUUCAUUCCAAGCUCAAGGGUUUGUUUUCCUUGUUGCUAUCUGCUGUUUAUUCCUUACAAAGUACUGUCUCGGACUCUUUGAUGGUUGCUUUGAACCUGUAUUGAACGGAAAUGAUAAAUUAAGAAGAAACUUAGCACACAAGACAGAAUUCAAAAUUAAAACCGUGAUGUGACCACUGAGAAGACAUUUGGAAGCCCAUUCUUCAUGAACAGAAAAAGGCGACAGGACACCAACUGUUGAUGCCAUAGGUGCUGUGGUAAGUCUUGAAAAGCAGUGAGAACUGUUUGGAAUCUGCUUCUGUGCUUCCUAGGACUCUCCAGUCUAGUCCUUGGAGAAAGUUCUCAAUCUCCACCGACUGUGGAACGGACAAGUUGAAACCUGUAAAUCUCUGCUCACCCAACCAGGACACUAAUCCAUCUUGAUAUGACAAAUAUCAGUACUCAGUAGCAACUAGAAUUCAAUUAGUGACAGGACAUAGACAGUGUGAUACUAGUAAAUGUGUAUUGAAGCUUUUCUUCCAUUGGUCGAAUGUAAUUAUUGAAAUAGUAUUUAUUGAAGAGGUUUAUGGGCCUUCAGAUGUACAGAUUGUAAAACUUCCUUGAAGAUACAACAUACUGGUGUAAACUCUAUUUAUUGCAGUGCAUAAUGUUCAAAUGUCACAUGUAUAUUUUACAGUAAUAUAUAAGGCUAGAUAAAAAUGAGAAUUAUAUUUAAGAGUUUUUUUUCCAGAUAUUAGUAUCUUUGAACCUUUAGGACCAGUUUGUAUUUGAAUCUGAAAAGAUGAAAAUGUGUUUUCUAACAAGGGUUUUAAUUUUCCCUAGAUUUGAAUUUGCAUGCUUUCCUUUUGUGUGGGUUUAUUGCUACCCAGAUAUGAUUUGGUGUUAGACCAUGGUAAGAUUUAUAACAAGCAUAGGAUAUUUUAGACAGGUUAUGUAUUAUGUACAUUAUAUAUGUUUAUACAAUAGAAAGUUUGUGUUGUCUUUUCAGAAAGUUUAGAGUAUUGCCCUAACUAUGAUCGCAGCUUCCACUGCCAAAGGCUAAUGGCUUAUCUCCUAUUCAAAAUUGAUUUAGAUGUCUAGUGGGUUGGGUAGUGUAGAUACAAUGUGAGAAUGUAAAAGACAAUCUUUAGUGAUGCAGGGUGAUAAAGAUGCAGCUGAUAGUUUUCUGCCAGAUCUUGAAGCUUUACAAUGUAUUUUUUUCUUAAGGCCACAUAGUACAAUCUUCUUUGAGGUGGGUUUAUUUUUAAGUAACACUAACAACAAAUUGAGCAUUGCUAUUAAUUUUAAUCUGUU